AAAUUAAAAAGGAAAUUACGAAAUUUUUGUGCCCACAACCCAAUUUUUUAUUUAAAUUUUUUAAAAAAAU
rnacentral:tRNA from 1 species